AGAGAGCUUGCUCUCUGGGUGACGAGCGGCGGACGGGUGAGUAAUGUCUGGGAAACUGCCUGAUGGCGGGGGAUAACUAGUGGAAACGGUAGCUAAUACCGCAUAACGUCGCAAGACCAAAGUGGGGGACCUUCGGGCCUCACGCCAUCAGAUGUGCCCAGGUGGGAUUAGCUGGUAGGUGGGGUAACGGCUCACCUAGGCGACGAUCCCUAGCUGGUCUGAGAGGAUGACCAGCCACACUGGAACUGAGACACGGUCCAGACUCCUACGGGAGGCAGCAGU
rnacentral:rRNA from 1 species